UUUUGUCUCUGUUGCUGCUCAGUUCAUUGGUCUUAGGAGGUUCGGGAGGACUCGCUGACCAUUCGAUGGUAGCCUCUUCGGCAGGUGGUCUUUAAGGCAUUGUCAGGCCCUUCGGGGUAGGCAAUUGUCGCCACUAAGGCAUCGUCAGGCCCUUCGGGGUAGGCGAAUGUCAUCUUUUAACUUCGUCAGGCCCUUCGUGGUAGGCGAAUGUCAUCUUGUAACUUCGUCAGGCCGUUCGUGGUAGGCGAAUGUCAUCUUUUAACUUCGUCAGGCCCUUCGUGGUAGAUGAUUGUCACCUUUUGGUUCU
rnacentral:lncRNA from 1 species